rnacentral:lncRNA from 1 species
AUGCUAAAUACACCACAAGCAACUGUGACAAAGCAAAGCAACCAAAGAAGUCUGAUUCAGAGGAAGACACCAUGUAAACCAGGCAUCAAGAGGAAGAGAAGGAGUCAGUCAAGCAGAAGCAGAGGAGAGAAAGGAUCUCACUGCAGACAGAUUCAGAUUCUGGAGGCGACUCUUGGCGGACUGCUGCAGCUCCUCGGUGCGCCUGCUGAGGUGUUUCACCUGCUGGCUCCAUCCCUCCAUCUGCAGCAAGUCGGCCAGCUGCCCCUCCCUCUCCCCCAUGGCGUCCAGGUCUCCAUGGAGACCGCAACACUCCCUCAGCACCGCCUGUCACAAUCAGACCAUAAAUUACAAGUCAAAGAGAGGAGGUUCCUCCGUUGGGUGAUGAUACUAAUUAAGGUCAGCCAACAUGGAGGCUUUCACUGGAAACCACAAUCUAAUUAACCGCAGAUUUGAGACGUAUCUUCAGAUCUCAUAAGGCAUGUUGUCUCCUCAUGCCCGUUCUCCGUCUUCUUCUCCAUCACCACCUCCCUUCCAUCCUCUCCUCUAAGGCAGCGAGUUUGCUGCCCCAGCAAGGCCAGUAUGGACUGCUCCUUCUCCACCUCCUGGCUGAAGGAGUCGUGGUACUCCAGCAGGCUCUGGAGUGCCGCCCUGGUGGCCGCCUUCUCCACGGUGCUGUCUGGAAGGCGACUGUGGAGGUCUCUGGACACAGAACUCACUUUCUCCACCUAAAUGUCAGAAAUUAGAAAUGAAGAGUUAUCAGAUGUUUUUAUAAAGAAGGAAAAUGUGAUAAUGACUUAAGUAGGCUUUAGGUUAAGGAUACAUAUGUCUUCUACAGCGUUUAUGUUAGAUUAAGUAUCAUCAAAUAGCAUUUAUAUGACUGUUCAGAAAAAAGCAAACUUGAUCUGCAUGUAUUUGUCUUCAUGCACGGUGCUAGAAAAUCAGUUUCAGUAAUUUCUCAUGUAAAAAUAAGAUUUCUGAAUAGUGAAAACAGAAAAAAAACAUUUCUUAGGUGUAGAAACAGCUCUGAGAAAAGUGAUUUAAAAGGGUGCUGUUUAUCACUUUUACGCUUAUAACAGAAGUAAUAAAAUCACAAAAUUAAAUCAAAAAUAGAGCAAAUUUUACUUCUACUGACACAACAUUUCUGAGGUGAACAGUUUCUGUUUCAAAAGCCUCUAAAGAAAGUUUGUGAAAGUCAGAGGUGAAUGACAUCAUGUCCAGAAAAACAAAGGAGCCACAGACAAAAACACACAAUGGACAACAGGAACGUGCCACAUAUGAGGAAGUGGACAUCCUCCUGAGUCUGACUUCACUUCCUCUUUAGAAACGGUGCUUUGUGGGUGUUCUUGGGAGCAGACAGAGAGUGAGCGUGAAUUGGGUCAAAAGGCGGGAAAACGCUUCAUGACAGAGAGUUUUGGCAGGAAAACACAGCUGGCCUAAAGCCUGGAGUUACAUCUCUCUCUCUCUCUCUCUCUCUCUCUCUCUCUCUCUCUCUCUCUCUCUC